GCAGCGGCUCUUCAAAAAUCAUAUCCGCGAUGUACGGAAACUGAGCUGCACCAUCUCAUUGCCGACCACUUGAGGCACGCCCCAGCACGCUGCAAGAAACGCUCUUCUACCUUGGCACACAGGGUGGAUACCAACGAACAUGAGGCAUCACCCUGCCUCCAUGACCAGUAAGGCUACAGCAUUAAACAGGACUAACUGAAGAUGAAGGUUCUAGUGCAAGGACGAGGACGCUCGGCUCCGACAAGAUCAAGCAAGGUGGUGGUGGUGAUGAUGAUAGACCUCUUUUCUGGCUCGUACCCACUAAGGGGGAUAGGCCAGUGCCACUACACGAGCAGCUAUGUGCAGAAAUUUGAAUAUUUUUAUAGCUUCAGUGUUCGAAAACUCUAUCUACACAUAUAUGUGUAUAUGUAUCAUUUCAUGAAGGGACAAAAACACAAUGAAAAUUUUUUAUUUUCCAGUUUUCUUUCCCAUCAUAAUUGCAGAAUGUUGUGCAUUUGCCGCAUUUAUUUAUUGCAAGUGUCAUUUUCUUGG